AAAAAAAAUUCUCUUACAUCUUUGUGUUGUGAGGCAACAGAUUGUAGCACUAUGCCCAAGACAAAUUUCCCCUUGGGGACAAUAAAGUGUAUUCUAUUCUCUUCUAUUGUAGCUUUCUAUAGAAACA